rnacentral:rRNA from 1 species
CCUGAACGCUGGCGGCGUGGCUAAGACAUGCAAGUCGAACGGGACCCGCAAGGGUUCAGUGGCGGACGGGUGAGUAAUGUAUCGCUAAUGUGCCCCGGAGCCUGGGAGUAGCCAGCCGAAAGGCUGGGUAAGUACCAGAUGAUAUAUCCUGAUCGCAUGGUCGGGACCGUCAAAGACAGCAAUGCACUCUGGGAGCAGGCGAUAUCGUAUCAGCUAGUUGGUGAGGUAACGGCUCACCAAGGCGACGACGCGUAGCUGGUCUGAGAGGACGGCCAGCCACAUUGGGACUGAGACACUGCCCAGACUCCUACGGGGGGCGUGCAGUAACGAAUCUUCCGCAAUGCAACGAAAGUGUGACGGAGCGACGCCG